rnacentral:rRNA from 1 species
CCCUUAGAUGUUCUGGGCUGCACGCGUGCUACACUGAUAUUGCCAAUAUGUCAUUCUUAUCCGAAAUGGAUUGGGUAAUCAAGUAAUGAAAUUUCAUGCUUGGAAUCGGUAAUUGCAAUUUUAUCGUGAACGAGGAAUUCCUAGUAAGUCCCAGUCAACAGCUGGUACUGAUUACGUCCCUGCCCUUUGUACACACCGCCCGUCGCUACUACUGAUUGGACGUUUAAGCAAGAUUUUUAAACACUGACAGUGUGUAGUUCACGCUAUACUACAGUGAGAAGAAGAAGAUCGAGCUUACUUGUCUAGAGGAAGUAAAAGUCGUAACA